GGGUUGUGAGGUUAAGCGAAUAAGCGUACACGGUGGAUGCCUAGGCAGUCAGAGGCGAUGAAGGACGUGCUAAUCUGCGAAAAGCGUCGGUAAGCUGAUAUGAAGCGCCAUAACCGGCGAUGUCCGAAUGGGGAAACCCAGUGCGAUGCGUCGCACUAUCAUUAACUGAAUCCAUAGGUUAAUGAGGCGAACCGGGGGAACUGAAACAUCUCAGUACCCCGAGGAAAAGAAAUCAACCGAGAUUCCCCCAGUAGCGGCGAGCGAACGGGGAGCAGCCCAGAACCAGCAUCAGCGAUGCCAUCAGAGGAACGGUCUGGAAAGGCCGGCGAGAGAGGGUGACAGCCCCGUACUCGAAGGUGGCAUGGCUGUGAGUUCGACGAGUAAGGCGGGACACGAGAAAUCCUGUCUGAAGAGGGGGGGACCAUCCUCCAAGGCUAAAUACUCCUGACUGACCGAUAGUGAACCAGUACCGUGAGGGAAAGGCGAAAAGAACCCCGGCGAGGGGAGUGAAAGAGAACCUGAAACCGUGUACGUACAAGCAGUGGGAGCCCCACCACCAAAGCGUUUCGCUUUGCGUGGCGCACAAAAUGCGUAACGUCAUCUCAGAUGACGGUUGGCGGAGCGGCAGCGACGCCCAACACACUAACAAGCAGUGGAGCGUUUUGGGGUGGGGUGACUGCGUACCUUUUGUAUAAUGGGUCAGCGACUUAUAUUCUGUAGCAAGGUUAACCGCAUAGGGGAGCCGCAGGGAAACCGAGUCUUAACUGGGCGAAUAAGUUGCAGGGUAUAGACCCGAAACCCGGUGAGCUAGCCAUGGGCAGGUUGAAGGUUGGGUAACACUAACUGGAGGACCGAACCGACUAAUGUUGAAAAAUUAGCGGAUGACCUGUGGCUGGGGGUGAAAGGCCAAUCAAACCGGGAGAUAGCUGGUUCUCCCCGAAAGCUAUUUAGGUAGCGCCUCGUGAAGUCAUCUUCGGGGGUAGAGCACUGUUUCGGCUAGGGGGCCAUCCCGGCUUACCAACCCGAUGCAAACUGCGAAUACCGAAGAAUGUUAUCACGGGAGACACACGGCGGGUGCUAACGUCCGUCGUGAAGAGGGAAACAACCCAGACCGCCAGCUAAGGUCCCGAAGUCAUGGUUAAGUGGGAAACGAUGUGGGAAGGCCCAGACAGCCAGGAUGUUGGCUUAGAAGCAGCCAUCAUUGAAAGAAAGCGUAAUAGCUCACUGGUCGAGUCGGCCUGCGCGGAAGAUGUAACGGGGCUAAACCAUGCGCCGAAGCUGCGGCAAUGACAUUCAGGUGUUAUUGGGUAGGGGAGCGUUCUGUAAGCCGUUGAAGGUGGCGCUGUGAGGCCCGCUGGAGGUAUCAGAAGUGCGAAUGCUGACAUAAGUAACGAUAAAGCGGGUGAAAAACCCGCUCGCCGGAAGACCAAGGGUUCCUGUCCAACGUUAAUCGGGGCAGGGUGAGUCGACCCCUAAGGCGAGGCCGAACGGCGUAGCUGAUGGGAAACAGGUUAAUAUUCCUGUACUGAAUGUGACUGCGAAGGGGGGACGGAGAAGGCUAGGCCAUCCGGGCGACGGUCGUCCCGGUUUAAGCGUGUAGGUGGGAGGAGCAGGCAAAUCCGCUCUUCUGUAACACUGAGGCGUGAUGACGAGCUGCUACGGCAGUGAAGUGGCUGAUGCCCGGCUUCCAGGAAAAGCCUCUAAGCAUCAGGUGACAUUGAAUCGUACCCCAAACCGACACAGGUGGUCAGGUAGAGAAUACUCAGGCGCUUGAGAGAACUCGGGUGAAGGAACUAGGCAAAAUGGUGCCGUAACUUCGGGAGAAGGCACGCUGGCGGUAGGUGAGGGGCUUUGCGCCCGGAGCCGAAGCCAGUCGCAGAGACCAGCUGGCUGCAACUGUUUAUUAAAAACACAGCACUGUGCAAACACGUAAGUGGACGUAUACGGUGUGACGCCUGCCCGGUGCUGGAAGGUUAAUUGAUGGGGUUAGCCGCAAGGCGAGGCUCUUGAUCGAAGCCCCAGUAAACGGCGGCCGUAACUAUAACGGUCCUAAGGUAGCGAAAUUCCUUGUCGGGUAAGUUCCGACCUGCACGAAUGGCGUAAUGAUGGCCAGGCUGUCUCCACCCGAGACUCAGUGAAAUUGAACUCGCUGUGAAGAUGCAGUGUCCCCGCGGCAAGACGGAAAGACCCCGUGAACCUUUACUAUAGCUUGACGCUGAACAUGGAGCCUUGAUGUGUAGGAUAGGUGGGAGGCCUGGAAGUGCGGACGCCAGUCUGCAUGGAGCCAUCCUUGAAAUACCACCCUUGAAUGCUCGAUGUUCUCACUUAAGCCCGUCAUCCGGGCUGAGGACAGUGUCUGGCGGGUAGUUUGACUGGGGCGGUCUCCUCCCAAAGCGUAACGGAGGAGCACGAAGGUUGGCUAAUCACGGUCGGACAUCGUGAGGUUAGUGCAAAGGCAGAAGCCAGCUUAACUGCGAGAGUGACGGCUCGAGCAGGUACGAAAGUAGGUCUUAGUGAUCCGGUGGUUCUGAAUGGAAGGGCCAUCGCUCAACGGAUAAAAGGUACUCCGGGGAUAACAGGCUGAUACCGCCCAAGAGUUCAUAUCGACGGCGGUGUUUGGCACCUCGAUGUCGGCUCAUCACAUCCUGGGGCUGAAGUAGGUCCCAAGGGUAUGGCUGUUCGCCAUUUAAAGUGGUACGCGAGCUGGGUUUAGAACGUCGUGAGACAGUUCGGUCCCUAUCUGCCGUGGGCGCAGGAAGAUUGAAAGGGGCUGCUCCUAGUACGAGAGGACCGGAGUGGACGCACCGCUGGUGUACGGGUUGUCAUGCCAAUGGCAUCGCCCGGUAGCUAAGUGCGGGAGAGAUAACCGCUGAAAGCAUCUAAGCGGGAAACUUGCCUUGAGAUGAGUCUUCCCUUGACUUAGAGUCACGGAAGGAACGUUUAAGACGAAGACGUGGAUAGGCUGGGUGUGUAAGCGCAGCGAUGCGUUGAGCUGACCAGUACUAAUGAACCGAGCGGCUUAACCUUACAACGCCGAAGGGGUUUUG
rnacentral:rRNA from 1 species